UGAACCAGGGUUUCCUGCACUGCAGGUGGAUUGUUUACCAACUGAGCUAUCAGGGAAGACCGGGAUUACCUCUCUAGUAUCCUGAAGAUACACAACAUGGUGAAAAGAAAAGCAGACUGGCAGUCAGCAAGACAAGAAUCCCAGUCCCAAUCAUGCUAUUCCCUAUGAAUCUUCACCUUUCAAACUCAGCUUUUUAUUCUGUAUUUUCAAAUGAAGGAUUUGGAUUAAAGCAGUGUUUUCCGAUCUAAA